AUCGAACGCUGGCGGCAGGCCUAACACAUGCAAGUAGAGCGGAGCGGCGGACGGGUGAGUAAUGCCUAGGAAUCUGACUGGUAGUGGGGGAUAACGUCAGGAAACGGGCGCAAAUAUCGCAUACUAUCAGAUGAGCCUAGGUCGGAUUAGCUAGUUGGUGUGGUAAAGGCCUACCAAGGCGACGAUCCGUAACUGGUCUGAGAGGCUGAUCAGUCGCACUGGAACUAGAACACGGUCCAGACUCCUACGGGAGGCAGCGGUGGGAAAUAUUGGACAAUGGGCGAAAUCCUGAUCCAGCCAUGCCGCGUGGGCGAAGAAGGUCUUCGGAGUGUAAAGCACUUUAAGUUUGGAGGCGUUACCAACAGAGUAAGCACCGGCGAACUUCGUGCCAGCAGCCGCGGUAAUAC
rnacentral:rRNA from 1 species